UGGUCGACCUGCAGGCGGCCGCGAAUUCACUAGUGAUUAGAGUUUGAUCAUGGCUCAGGAUAAACGCUGGCGGCGUGCUUUAUGCAUGCAAGUCGAACGAUUUUUCCCGCAAGGGAAGGAUAGUGGCAAACGGGUGAGUAACACUUAAGUAACCUGCCCCUAAGUGGGGGAUACCUCUGAGAAAUCGGAGCUAAUACCGUAUGUGGUCCUUCACCACAAGGUGAAGGACUAAAGUUUCUUCGCAAGGAAAGACGCUUGGGGAGGGGCUUGUGGCCGAUUAGCUAGUUGGCGGAGUAACGGUUCACCAAGGCGAUAAUCGGUAGCUGGUCUGAGAGGAUGGUCAGCCACACUGGGACUGAGACACGGCCCAGACUCCUACGGGAGGCAGCAGCAAGGAAUUUUGUGCAAUGGGSGAAAGCCUGACACAGCGACGCCGCGUGGGGGAGGAAGGCCUUCGGGUUGUAAACCCCUUUUCUCAGGGAGGA
rnacentral:rRNA from 1 species